rnacentral:rRNA from 1 species
GCAAGCCCUCGCUGAAGGAUGAGUUCGCGUACCAUUAGCUUGUUGGUAGGGUAAUGGCCUACCAAGGCGACGAUGGUUAGCUGGUCUGAGAGGAUGAUCAGCCACACUGGAACUGAGACACGGUCCAGACUCCUACGGGAGGCAGCAGUGAGGAAUCUUGCGCAAUGGGGGAAACCCUGACGCAGCAACGCCGCGUGAGUGAGGAAGGUCUUCGGAUCGUAAAGCUCUGUCAGUUGGAAAGAAAUGUCUGAGAGUCAAUCCCUUUCAGGCUUGACGGUACCAACAGAGGAAGCACCGGCUAACUCCGUGCCAGCAGCCGCGGUAAUACGGGGGGUGCAAGCGUUGUUCGGAAUUAUUGGGCGUAAAGAGCGUGUAGGCGGCCGGAUAUGUCAGAUGUGAAAGCCCCGGGCUUAACCCGGGAAGUGCAUUUGAAACUGUCCGGCUCGAGUAGGGGAGAGGGAAGUGGAAUUCCUGGUGUAGAGGUGAAAUUCGUAGAUAUCAGGAGGAACACCGGUGGCGAAGGCGACUUCCUGGCCCUAUACUGACGCUGAGACGCGAGAGCGUGGGUAGCAAACAGGAUUAGAUACCCUGGUAGUCCACGCCGUAAACGAUGUUCACUAGGUGUUGGGGGUAUUGACCCCCUCAGUGCCGGAGCUAACGCA